AAUAGAUACCCGGGUAGUCCACGCCGUAAACGAUGAGUGCUAAGUGUUAGAGGGUUUCCGCCCUUUAGUGCUGCAGCUAACGCAUUAAGCACUCCGCCUGGGGAGUACGGUCGCAAGACUGAAACUCAAAGGAAUUGACGGGGGCCCGCACAAGCGGUGGAGCAUGUGGUUUAAUUCGAAGCAACGCGAAGAACCUUACCAGGUCUUGACAUCCCACUGACCGGUAUAGAGAUAUACCUUUCCCUUCGGGGACAGUGGUGACAGGUGGUGCAUGGUUGUCGUCAGCUCGUGUCGUGAGAUGUUGGGUUAAGUCCCGCAACGAGCGCAACCCUUAAUCUUAGUUGCCAGCAUUUAGUUGGGCACUCUAAGGUGACUGCCGGUGACAAACCGGAGGAAGGUGGGGAUGACGUCAAAUCAUCAUGCCCCUUAUGACCUGGGCUACACACGUGCUACAAUGGAUGGUACAAAGGGCUGCAAGACUGCGAAGUCAAGCCAAUCCCAUAAAACCAUUCUCAGUUCGGAUUGCAGGCUG
rnacentral:rRNA from 1 species